UGGGGAAUUUUGGACAAUGGGGGAAACCCUGAUCCGGCCAUCCCGCGUGUGCGAUGAAGGCCUUCGGGUUGUAAAGCACUUUUGGCAGGAAAGAAACGUCAUGGGUUAAUACCCCGUGAAACUGGCGGUACCUGCAGAAUAAGCACCGGCUAACUACGUGCCAGCAGCCGCGGUAAUACGUAGGGUGCAAGCGUUAAUCGGAAUUACUGGGCGUAAAGCGUGCGCAGGCGGUUCGGAAAGAAAGAUGUGAAAUCCCAGAGCUCAACUUUGGAACUGCAUUUUUAACUACCGGGCUAGAGUGUGUCAGAGGGAGGUGGAAUUCCGCGUGUAGCAGUGAAAUGCGUAGAUAUGCGGAGGAACACCGAUGGCGAAGGCAGCCUCCUGGGAUAACACUGACGCUCAUGCACGAAAGCGUGGGGAGCAAACAGG
rnacentral:rRNA from 1 species